rnacentral:rRNA from 1 species
GAUGAACGCUGGCGGCGUGCCUAAUACAUGCAAGUAGAACGCUGAAGGAGGAGCUUGCUCUUCUGGAUGAGUUGCGAACGGGUGAGUAACGCGUAGGUAACCUGCCUGGUAGCGGGGGAUAACUAUUGGAAACGAUAGCUAAUACCGCAUGACAACAGUUAUUGCAUGAUAACUGUUUAAAAGGGGCAACUGCUCCACUACCAGAUGGACCUGCGUUGUAUUAGCUAGUUGGUGAGGUAACGGCUCACCAAGGCGACGAUACAUAGCCGACCUGAGAGGGUGAUCGGCCACACUGGGACUGAGACACGGCCCAGACUCCUACGGGAGGCAGCAGUAGGGAAUCUUCGGCAAUGGACGGAAGUCUGACCGAGCAACGCCGCGUGAGUGAAGAAGGUUUUCGGAUCGUAAAGCUCUGUUGUAAGAGAAGAACGAGUGUGAGAGUGGAAAGUUCACACUGUGACGGUAUCUGACCAGAAAGGGACGGCUAACUACGUG